rnacentral:lncRNA from 1 species
GAUUUUGGCAUAGCAUUGGAAAUGUAAAUGAGGAAAAUACCUAAUAAAAAUAUUUAAAAAGAAAAAGAAAAGAAAAGAAAAGAAAAGAAGAAAAGAAAAGAAAAGAAAAGAAAAGAAAAGAAAAGAAAAGAAAGGGAAUAGAGUCAGAUAGAGAGGGGCAGUUGAGGGAAUAGAGUAGAGGGUUGGGUAGAGGGAGGGGUCACUGUAAUUAGGAUAUAUUAUAAAGAAAAGAGCCCAUUUUCAAUAAAAGUUGAGAAAAUUAGUUCAACCAAAAUUUAAAUAAAUCAACCCUUACUUAAGUUAAUUUGAUCAGGGUAUAGUGUGGCAUGAAUGUGUUAAACAAUGUACCACAUACCUACUCCUGUAACCAUCAUGUAAUUGUUAAGUAGGAAGCUAGUUUCAUGACUUAGCUAGAUAAGGGCUGAAGGACCUCAGAAGAAAUUCACCACUGGUUAUCCUGGAGAUGGCCAGAAUGCUAUCUGGUUCAAAUAAUCUAUAAUUAUCUUAUUUUUAUUUUGUUAAAUAUCUGUAUAUUCAAGUAGCUAGAAUUUGAUUUGUUUGUGACUAAAGAUGAAGAAGAUAAAGGAUCUUCUUCAGAUUUGAGAUUUUUCAUUCCCAACAAGAAUCUUACCAUAAAAAGUGCAAUAAAAGGUUAUACAUUUUUUUUUUAAUUUUUAGUUUCAUGCUAAUGUGUCCAAAUCAUACCAGAGUCACAUGAUUUUAUGUUUUACCCAAUCUGAUACAUGGUGUUGAGAUUUCUAAUAGAACUUGUAAUUUUAUGCACUAGUCCCAUAUGAAUAAUACUAAAGUGAAAAAAUGCUUAUUAUACUUGUACUUUGACAAGAAGCAGCCCACAGCUACACGAAGACAUCUCAGGAGUCUGUUUCUGUCUAGUUUACUAUUGGAAAAUGUUCUGACUCUCUUCCUUCUUUCUUAUCCUAUAAAGUAGGUAGAAAGAGGUUUACUUCUGGGACUCCCAAGUGGGAGAUGGUGUGGGGGUCAUGUUUUAUUUAGAAAGUGGUAGUACAAUGGAAAAACAUCAAUCUCAGCCAGCUCCAAUCUCAGCCAGCAGAUAGCUCUUCCCUGUUAAAUAAAAUUACUUUAACAUGGUAUGUAUGUAUGUAUGUAUGCGUGCAUGAAUUUAUGCAUGCAUUCAUAUGUAUGGACGUGUAUAUGGCAUUUUGUUUAUAAAGUAGGAAGUUGUAAUAGCAAUCAAUCAAUAUAUAUAUAUAUAUAUAUAUAUAUAUAUAUAUAUAUAUAUGUAUGUAUAUAUAUAUAUAUAUAUAUAUAUAUAUACACACACAAGUGACUGUGUAUACUGUAUAUAAAAAGUUCCACUUUUGAUAUAACUGGGUGCCAGACCAUGAUCUGGGCCAUAUAGAUCACCCAGAUGGCAUUGCUGUUGGAGAUGAAGCUUGUGGACUUUGUCAACAGUGCUCCACCUAGGGUAGUAUGUAGCCUGUCAAACAUGGCAUGUGAGGGUAUCUCAUAGGCAGGUCUGUGAGAUAGUUUUAUAAUUUUUCAAAUGAAACUUUCUAUUUCAAGAAUAUACAUUUGGCCAAGGCUGUUUUGUAUUCUCUCUCUCUCUCUCUCUCUCUCUCUCUCUCUCUCCCCUUCUUCUUCUAUCUCUUUUUUUCUCUUGCAUAUUUCCUGUCAUGAAAUUUUUAAUUAUUUUUAGAAUGCACAAUAUUAAUCAUUGCAUUUCUAUGAACUUCUCUGAGCCUCUAUAUUAUAUGUUUAUGACAUCAUUUUCCAUUCUGCACUCUAUUUUACUGUAAUUGGUUCUCUACCCAAAUUAAGAGACCUUUACACUUGGGUGCCACGUCUUUUUGUGUCUAGUGGGCUGUUUUGAGAAUAUUGCAAGCAAUAUGUAUUUGCUUAUUGCAAAAAGAAAAAAACUAUACUGUAAGUCAUUUGGAAAAUUGGGAAAGAGGAAAAGAGAACAAGAGAUGUAAUCAAUAUUGAGAACUGAAAUGUAAUUUAAGUCUCUUUGAGUUUGGAUCGCCCCCAACUAUUAUGAAAAGGCACUGGUGGCUAAAUAUAUGCCUGACAAUGGCAUACUGUUUUGCAUUAAGUUGAAAAUUUAAUUUAUCCAUUUAUGGUACGAACUUAAUGGUGUUCAUAAUGUGGAUGUUCAUUAAAUUCCUAAUUGAUUAAAAAUUUCAAAAGGGCAUCUUUAGAGACUGAUUAAUGGAAUACAAUGCACAGAAUCGCUACAAUGCACUAGAUGUGCUGUGCUAGACUGAAAUAAAUGCUGGGAAAGAAAAUUUACAAGUUUAAUUAUAGUAAAAGACUGUGAUUCUAGCUCUCUGAAAGGUGAUAGUGCAUUCUCAAAUAACGAUGUCCAUGUACUAAGGACAUAGCUCAUCAAUAGACUAUAUGUUAUCUACAUAAGUGGGUGCUGAGUAGUUUGAGCCUCAGUACUUAAUAAAAUUUC